ACAGAUUGCCGGAACACGUACACAACUUUCCUUUAAGUGGGGAAUAGCCCGGGGAAACCCGGAUUAAUACCCCGUAAUAUUAUGAAGUGGCAUCACUUUWUAAUUAUCGCUCCGGCGCUUGAAGACGGGUGUGCGCUGAUUAGGUAGUUGGCGGGGUACGGCCCACCAAGCCWCGAUCAAGUACUGGUGUGAGACACNACCAGUCCACGGGCACUGAGACACGGGCCCNACUCCUAACGGGAGGAGCAGUAAGGAAUAUUGGUCAAUGGMNCAAGUCUGAACCAGCCAUGCCGCGUUGGAGGAUGAAAGGUCCUCUGGAUUGUAAACUUCUUUUAUUUGGGAAGAAACCCAUAUUUUCUAAUGUGKUGACGGUACCAGAUGAAUAGCACCGCUAACUCCGUGCCAGCAGCCGCGGUUAUACGGAGGUGCAAGCGUUAUCCGGAUUCMUGGGUUUAAAGGGU
rnacentral:rRNA from 1 species